rnacentral:lncRNA from 1 species
UUAAUUGUGCAGAAGUAAAGCCAACAUAAGCAAUGUAAAAAUCAAGUCUUGCUAGUUAAAUAUAAGAAUAAGAAGAACCAAUUACAAGGAAAGCAAAAAAGACUUAUUCAAGGAGUAUGGUGUUAAAAAGUAAAUGAAGUGAAAAUUUUUAAGUGCUAAACUCUACCAACCUAGCUACAAUUCAAAACAUUUACCACUAGAUGGCACUAUUUUAAUGAAGCAGUAAAGCCCGGUGUAAAUUGGGCGCCUGGCAUGUUGUUUUGAACUUGACUCAACAUAAAAAGAUAUUUAUUUCCAGACUGUCCUUGGCUCCAAAGAAGGAGGCAAAGACACACUUGAGGCCUG